GACGAACGCUGGCGGCGUGCCUAAUACAUGCAAGUAGAACGCAGUUGCGAACGUGUGAGUAAUGCGUAGGUAACUGCCUCAUAGCGGGGGAUCACUAUUGGCAACGAUAGCUAAUACCGCAUACUGUGCGAUGGACUUCCGUUGUAUUAGCUAGUUGGUGAGGUAAAGGCUCACCAAGGCGACGAUACAUAGCCGUCCUGAGAGGGUGUGCGGCCGCAGUGGGACGGGGGCGAGACCCAGACUGCUACGGGGGGCGGGAGUAGGGAAUCUUGGGGAAUGGACGGAAGUCUGGCAGAGCAACGCGGCGUGAGUGGAGAGGGUUUUCGGGUCGUAAAGCUGUGAGGUUGGAGAGGCGGUAACUACCCAGAAAGGGACGGCUAACUACGUGCCAGCAGCCGCGGUAAUAC
rnacentral:rRNA from 1 species